rnacentral:rRNA from 1 species
UACAGAGGUGGCAAGCGUUGUUCGGAAUUACUGGGCGUAAAGGGCGCGUAGGCGGCCUACUAAGUCAGACGUGAAAUCCCCCGGCUUAACCUGGGAACUGCGUCUGAUACUGGAAGGCUUGAGGAUGGGAGAGGGAUGUAGAAUUCCAGGUGUAGCGGUGAAAUGCGUAGAUAUCUGGAGGAAUACCGGUGGCGAAGGCGGCAUCCUGGACCGACAUUGACGCUGAACGGCGAAAGCUAGGGGAGCAAACGGG